rnacentral:snoRNA from 1 species
AUCCGGCUUAGUUAGGAGGCACAUAGCGAAACCCUCAGGAUCCGAAUUUCACUAUUCGGGUCUUGAAUCGAGGCAUUUUGAGUGGACCUUUGUUCUUCGCUGUCAAUUGUCCUCCAAGCAGCCUUGGAUAUCC